GCAGACAUUCCGAGGAGUGGUCUGCAGUUGUAAAUUAAAGAUAAUUUUCACAAGUAUUGUUAUCUCUUGUCAUCAUCAGACGUGCUAAUAAUAGUUCGGCUGAUACAGAGAUUUCAAGGAAGCUGAAGAGAUGCAACAGCUGUGCCAAGCAUUUACAUGAGUUGAAGAACAACUGAAAGAUUUACAGGUCGAGUGACGUCUGUGAAGUGGAGAAGACCUCCUACCUUUACUGUGCCAAGAGUGGACAAGCCUGUAUGUAAUGCGAUGCGUCUGCUAAAGGACCGCUGGAUAUAUAUUUUUAAUUUUUUUUAUUUUAAGUCGUUCCUUUUUUUUAUAAUUAAACAUAACAUAAAUUUAGUAUCAAAGAAGUGAAAAAGGAAGUCUACAAUUUUUUAAUUUUUUUGUGGGACAGUUGAGACAAAUCGUCGUGGCUAAUAUUAAUAUGACUGAUACUGAUAUCGGAAAAUAUCUUUUAAAAUGUUUGGUUUCGUUCCAUUGAUGCUAAGAUAAGCAAUAUGAAAAUAUAUUGAAAAUGAGUUCUGUUCUUAUAAAAGGAAUUUUAAGAAAUACAGUUUCAGAAAGAUUGAAACGUAGAAGGAAAAGUUAAAAAUGAAAGCGAUAACGCAGUUGAUUUAAUUGAAAUAAACACAUUGAAAUUAAAACAUUAAAAUUGAUUAUACAAGGAGUGGCAAAUUUGUUUAUUACUGCGAAUAAGAUUUAGUUCGCAAAAACCUAAUAAUCGCGAAAUUUAACACUUUGAAAUCCUCUGAAUUAGUGCAUAUAAACAUAUCCAUGAAUUAUUGAAAACGUUUUAUCUAUUUUAUAGGAAAAAUAGAUGGAGUGGUCGUAGUUUAGAAAAGGAAGUUACUUAUAAGUUAUAAAAUAGUGGCAUAGCAUUCAAGACCAAAGAUAUGAUAUGGCUAAAUUGUACACAGGUGUGCAAGCUGCUAUUUGACAAAGAAAUUAUCAAGCAAAAUAACAUUCCUUGUUUUGCUUAUAGCUUAAAUUUUAUAUGCAAAAAUGCUGCUUUUAAAACUUUAAGCAUGUUAAUAUUUUUAAAGCUGUG